AUUGAACGCUGGCGGCAUGCCUUACACAUGCAAGUCGAACGGUAACAGGUCUUCGGAUGCUGACGAGUGGCGAACGGGUGAGUAAUACAUCGGAACGUGCCUAGUAGUGGGGGAUAACUACUCGAAAGAGUGGCUAAUACCGCAUGAGAUCUACGGAUGAAAGCAGGGGAUCGCAAGACCUUGUGCUACUAGAGCGGCCGAUGGCAGAUUAGGUAGUUGGUGGGAUAAAAGCUUACCAAGCCGACGAUCUGUAGCUGGUCUGAGAGGACGAUCAGCCAUACUGGGACUUAGACACGGCCCAGAAUCCUACGGGAGGCUGCAGUGGGGAAUUUUGGACAAUGGGCGAAAGCCUGAUCCAGCAAUGCCGCGUUCCGGAUGAAGGCCUUCGGGUUGUAAUCUGCUUUUGUACGGAACGAAAAGCCCCGGGUUAAUACCCUGGGGUCAUGACGGUACCGUAAGAAUAAGCACCGGCUAACUACGUGCCAGCCGCCGCCGUAA
rnacentral:rRNA from 1 species